AUUGAACGCUGGCGGCAUGCCUAACACAUGCAAGUCGAACGGCAGCACGGGUGCUUGCACCUGGUGGCGAGUGGCGAACGGGUGAGUAAUACAUCGGAACAUGUCCUGUAGUGGGGGAUAGCCCGGCGAAAGCCGGAUUAAUACCGCAUACGAUCUACGGAUGAAAGCGGGGGACCCUCGGGCCUCGCGCUAUAGGGUUGGCCGAUGGCUGAUUAGCUAGUUGGUGGGGUAAAGGCCUACCAAGGCGACGAUCAGUAGCUGGUCUGAGAGGACGACCAGCCACACUGGGACUGAGACACGGCCCAGACUCCUACGGGAGGCAGCAGUGGGGAAUUUUGGACAAUGGGCGAAAGCCUGAUCCAGCAAUGCCGCGUGUGUGAAGAAGGCCUUCGGGUUGUAAAGCACUUUUGUCCGGAAAGAAAUCCUUGGCCCUAAUACGGUCGGGGGAUGACGGUACCGGAAGAAUAAGCACCGGCUAACUACGUG
rnacentral:rRNA from 1 species